UACGUAGGGUGCAAGCGUUAAUCGGAAUUACUGGGCGUAAAGCGUGCGCAGGCGGUUUUGUAAGUCUGUCGUGAAAUCCCCCGGGCUCAACCUGGGAAUUGCGAUGGAGACUGCAAGGCUAGAAUCUGGCAGAGGGGGGGUAGAAUUCCACGUGUAGCAGUGAAAUGCGUAGGAGAUGUGGAGGAACACCGAUGGCGAAGGCAGCCCCCCUGGGUCAAGAUUGACGCUCAUGCACGAAAGCGUGGGGAGCAAACGAGG
rnacentral:rRNA from 1 species